CCCAGACUAAGUCAGGUCCUGUAUCUCUCCCCCCCAGACUAAGUCAGGUCCUGUAUCUCUCCCCUCCCAGACUAAGUCAGGUCCUGUAUCUCUCCCCCCAGACUAAGUCAGGUCCUGUAUCUCUCCCCUCCCAGACUAAGUCAGGUCCUGUAUCUCUCUCCCCCAGACUAAGUCAGGUCCUGUAUCUCUCCCCCCAGACUAAGUCAGGUCCUGUAUCUCUCCCCCCCAGACUAAGUCAGGUCCUGUAUCUCUCUCCCCACCCAGACUAAGUCAGGUCCUGUAUCUCUCUCCCCACCCAGACUAAGUCAGGUCCUGUACUGGUGGUAGAAGGAGAGGACAACGCCAGGACCAACCCCUGCUGUUAUAACUGUUCUCUCAGGGCCAUUUUGGAUUUGACUGCUCAGUGAGGAGAAUGUUUGGGUGUUUCCCCCCCAACUCUCCCUUCAUCAACCAAUAUGACUCUCGCCUCUCCUGAUCCGCAACCG